rfam:Bacillus sp. OxB-1 DNA, complete genome.
CCCGUGCUACAACCGCUCUGAAAAGGUACAAGCAUCCGUUGCGGAUCACCUCGGAAGGCGAGUCUGAGUAUAAAG